rnacentral:rRNA from 1 species
UACGGAGGGUGCAAGCGUUAAUCGGAAUUACUGGGCGUAAAGCGCACGCAGGUGGCUGAGUCAGUCGAUUGUGAAAUCCCCGGGCUUAACCUGGGAACUGCGUUUGAAACUACAAGGCUAGAGUGUGGCAGAGGGGGGUAGAAUUCCACGUGUAGCAGUGAAAUGCGUAGAGAUGUGGAGGAAUACCGAUGGCGAAGGCAGCCCCCUGGGCCAACACUGACGCUCAUGCACGAAAGCGUGGGGAGCAAACAGG